UACGUAGGGUGCAAGCGUUGUCCGGAAUUAUUGGGCGUAAAGAGCUCGUAGGCGGUCUGUCGCGUCUGCUGUGAAAACUCGGGGCUUAACCCCGGGCCUGCAGUGGGUACGGGCAGACUAGAGUGCGGUAGGGGAGACUGGAAUUCCUGGUGUAGCGGUGAAAUGCGCAGAUAUCAGGAGGAACACCGAUGGCGAAGGCAGCCCCCUGGGUCGAUACUGACGCUCAUGCACGAAAGCGUGGGGAGCAAACAGG
rnacentral:rRNA from 1 species